UCAUUUUUCUUUCACGCGAACAGUAAACGCGCAGAGAAAAACGCGUGCAGGUACUGGAAUAUUCAACUGCAGAACUGAUUAACCAGCGCUCGCUUUAAACCUGCUUGUGUUAAAUUUCACGUAAAUACAAAGUUACACUUUUCGACCAAGGAUUUGCAAGGAAACGUAAAGUUCAGGUUAUGACAGAUCUGUCCUGAAGGUUCUCUACAUCGUCGUGCUCACGCAGAAUAAAUAACCCAAGCAGUACAAUUGAGAAAGCUAGAAUAAAUUAACCAAUGAGAAUGUAAACAAGCAAAGCAGCAAUAAGGAAGCGGGAUACUUUGACAAUCAAGACUCGAAAUCGAAUAGUGAUACACCACCUUGCAUGAAUUCGCCUGGGGAAGAACAUAGAAUAAGACUUGCGCCCAUCAGAGAUGCGUGACAUCACACUGGUGCAGUGGCAUGAAAAAAUGCUAUGUAGAACGGAAGAGAUGACAAAGAAGAUGGGUGCCAUUUUUGUAUUUUGAUUCUGUGCAUCGUAAAUACAAAUUCUUCCAUUCCAUACUUUCUCCAAAUUCAUGAUAUAUACUGAUUAAAAUGUAAA